ACAGCAUUUAUUGCAGUGUGAUCAAACAAAACCCAAGACACAGUAAACAGUUCUCGUCACUCAGCAAACCGGCAACAAAACAAUAAAGCCAGCAGGCAGAGCAGUACAUCCCUGUUGCCUGGAGAUCCAGCAAAACAAAGGGCUGAAUAUCAGACUAAUGCCAACAAGCAGUGUUUCUCUAUCAGAGGAAUCAAACUGGGGCAAGUUUACCCUGCUGGUUUUUACUUACAGGCUUUGUGCAUUAUUCACAUGGAAGAUCCUUAUCAGAGACGGCCUGUAAUGAUCGGCUUGUAGUCAGUCGUUGCUGAGACUCUGUUUGACUCCACACUGCACUGAAAAAGGACAGAGAUACAGACACGAUGGUGAAGGGAAAGAAGAAAUCAAGCGAACCAUCAGGUCGAAAAAUCACACUUAAGAUGGCCAAGAAUGCUCUGAAAGUGACCGUAGACGGCAAACGCCGCCUCGACCUCAGCAACAUGGCCAUCUCCACAUUUCCAAAGUGCAUCCUGAAACUCUGCGAUGUAGACGAGCUAGACCUCAGUCGAAACCUCCUCAAGAAGAUCCCAGACGCCAUCGACAAAUUCGUGAACCUGCGUCUGCUGGAUCUGCACAGCAACCAUCUGGAGCAUCUUCCCGCAGCUAUAGGACGUCUGCAAAAUCUCCACAACCUCAAUCUGUGCAACAACCGUCUCACAAGCUCUAGUCUUCCUCAUGAAAUGGGCUUCUUGAGAAACUUACGAAUCCUCAAUUUAGGUAUGAACUGCAUUGACACUCUUCCUCCGACUGUGUCUGCUCUCAAAGAGCUCAGAGAACUGGGUCUCUUCAAUAACCUCCUGACGCAGCUGCCUAAGAGUCUACAAAACCUCCCCAAACUGCAGAAAGUGAACAUCAAAUCCAACCCAAUCCCUUCAGAUGAGGAUCCAGAAGUGGAUCGGAUUCAGAGAGUGGAGAGUCUGUAUCUGGUGAAGGAGGACUGUCUGUGCAAUGACUGUCUGAAGAAGUGUAGAGAGGAAAGAGAGAAGUUGGACAGCCGGAUGAGCGCGGCUUCCACAUUUAAGAAGUCUAUCUUUGCGGGUCUCAUAACGCCAAACUCUGUCGCACAAGAAAACCAGGCUGUGUGGAGGUGAAGAUGAGAAUUAAAGGGGCAGCUCACACAAAAAUGAAAAUUCACUCACUAUUUUCUCUUCCUCAAGUGGAGUAAAUGAGUUUCCAACAUUUUUCAAAUUAACUCCUUUUGAGAAGAUUGCAAUUUCAUUCAUUCAUUU